GACGGGUGAUCCCUCUUCUUGCAGGCUCUGUACAACAACUAUUCACAGAGCCUGGACAUCCUGCUCAGGGGCCUUCUGACAGAGACCCCCACCGUGGAGAAGCUGCAGCACCUCCUGGAGCACGUCCAUCCCUCUCUCCUGUCAAACAACACCCAGGAGAGAGCCAGGGCCGUACAGACCAGCGCGGCCCUGCUCCAGUUUGCCACCUCCCUGCCUGGAUUUGACACCUCCUCCACCUUCUCCAAGGCAGGUGAAUUCGUGCUGCAGCUGGGUCUCUGUGUAUCCCACCCAGCCAGUGACAUCAGUCGGCAUGCCAG